ensembl:rRNA 5S_rRNA 5S ribosomal RNA
GUCUACGGCUACACUACCCUGAACACAUCCGAUCUCGUCUGAUCUCGGAAGCUAAGCAAGGUUGGGCCUGGUUAGUAGUUGGAUGGAAUAACAAUGAUAUUAAUAUAAUACUGAGUUUCAGGCA